CAGAAAGACCCUAUGAAGCUUUACUGUAGCUUGAUAUUGGCUCCGGGCUUUGUUUGCGCAGGAUAGGUGGGAGGCGUUGAAGAUCUUCUUGCGGGGAGAUUGGAGCCGUUGGUGAGAUACCACUCUAACAAUGCUAGGAUUCUAACCCUAUACCGUUAUCCGGUUAGGGGACAGUUUCAGGUGGUCAGUUUGACUGGGGCGGUCGCCUCCCAAAAGGUAACGGAGGCGUGCAAAGGUUUCCUCAAGCCGGUCGGAAAUCGGUUGUAGAGUGUAAAGGCAUAAGGAAGCUUGAUUGUGAGACCUACAAGUCGAACAAAGACGAAAGUCGGCCUUAGUGAUCCGACGGUUCCGAGUGGAAGGGCCGUCGCUCAACGGAUAAAAGUUACUCUAGGGAUAACAGGCUGA
rnacentral:rRNA from 1 species